rnacentral:rRNA from 1 species
AUUGAACGCUGGCGGCAGGCUUAACACAUGCAAGUCGAACGAGCGGCGGACGGGUGAGUAAUGUCUGGGAAACUGCCUGAUGGAGGGGGAUAACUACUGGAAACGGUAGCUAAUACCGCAUACCAUCGGAUGUUCCCAGAUGGGAUUAGCUAGUAGGUGGGGUAAGGGCUCACCUAGGCGACGAUCCCUAGCUGGUCUGAGAGGAUGACGAGCCACAAUGGAACUGAGACACGGUCCAGACUCUUACGGGAGGCAGCAGUGGGGAAUAUUGCACAAUGGGCGCAAGACUGAUGCAGCCAUGCCGCGUGUGUGAAGAAGGCCUUCGGGUUGUAAAGCACUUUCAGCGAGGAGGCGUUACUCGCAGAAGAAGCACCGGCUAACUCCGUGCCAGCAGCCGCGGUAAUUC